rnacentral:RNase_P_RNA from 1 species
UCAGACGGCUGGACGGCCGCUCUCAAGGUUCGCUUUGAGGGAGGAAAGUCCGGGCUCCACGGAAGUACGGUGCCGGAUAACGUCCGGCGGGGGCGACCCUAGGGAAAGUUCCACAGAAAGCAAACCGCCAGCCUAGAGCCGCAAGGUUUCGGCUGGUAAGGGUGAAAGGGUGCGGUAAGAGCGCACCGCGCGACCGGCAACGGA